rnacentral:rRNA from 1 species
CCUACGGGAGGCAGCAGUGAGGAAUAUUGGUCAAUGGACGCGAGUCUGAACCAGCCAAGUAGCGUGAAGGAUGACUGCCCUAUGGGUUGUAAACUUCUUUUAUAUGGGAAUAAAAUGUUCCACGUGUGGGAUUUUGUAUGUACCAUAUGAAUAAGGAUCGGCUAACGCCGUGCCAGCAGCCGCGGUAAUACGGAGGAUCCGAGCGUUAUCCGGAUUUAUUGGGUUUAAAGGGAGCGUAGGUGGAUUGUUAAGUCAGUUGUGAAAGUUUGCGGCUCAACCGUAAAAUUGCAGUUGAAACUGGCAGUCUUGAGUACAGCAGAGGUGGGCGGAAUUCGUGGUGUAGCAGUGAAAUGCUUAGAUAUCACGAAGAACUCCGAUUGCGAAGGCAGCUUACUGGACUGCAACUGACACUGAGGCUCGAAAGUGUGGGUAUCAAACAGGAUUAGAUACCCUUGUAGUC